GGGAAUCUUAGACAAUGGGCGCAAGCCUGAUCUAGCCAUGCCGCGUGAGCGAUGAAGGCCUUAGGGUUGUAAAGCUCUUUCAGGGGGGAAGAUAAUGACUGUACCCCCAGAAGAAGCCCCGGCUAACUCCGUGCCAGCAGCCGCGGUAAUACGGAGGGGGCUAGCGUUGUUCGGAAUUACUGGGCGUAAAGCGCACGUAGGCGGCCUUUUAAGUCAGGGGUGAAAUCCCGGGGCUCAACCCCGGAAC
rnacentral:rRNA from 1 species